UACAGAGGUCUCAAGCGUUGUUCGGAUUCAUUGGGCGUAAAGGGUGCGUAGGCGGCGCGGUAAGUCGGGUGUGAAAUCUCGGAGCUUAACUCCGAAACUGCAUUCGAUACUGCCGUGCUUGAGGACUGGAGAGGAGACUGGAAUUUACGGUGUAGCGGUGAAAUUCGUAGAUAUUCGCAAGAACACCAGUGGCGAAGGCGGCUUCCUGGACUGUCCCUGACGCUGAGGCGCGAAAGCGUGGGUAGCAAACAGG
rnacentral:rRNA from 1 species